rnacentral:lncRNA from 1 species
UAUAUCCUAAAACGUGACUAUUCCGGGAUGUUUUUCACAGAAUACGGAACCGGUACCGGUCCGGACUGCCUGGCCCCUGCCACUGCAUCCAGAGUGACCGGAGGGAAACCAUCCAAGGGCCCAUCGGGACCCGUUCUGGCCCAGGACGCUCGGAUUGAGGGCCGCCGUCUUCCCGACUUCGACGAUCACUUCCACCUCCAGGAAUCGUGGCCUCCCAGCACCGGAGAUGCCACAGCCCCUCGGCCCGGGUCAGAGGAGUUCGAAGCUCGGCCGGUGCUGGGUCCCUCUCCUGGAGCUGCCAGAAAGGCAGCAAUUAAAACCUCAUUUAGCAUUUCUGUUUCGUUGGAUGGAGCUGCACAAGUGACCAAGAUGGGGACGGAUGGAGAAGGGAACAUCGUCAAGACGCCCGGUGGCCUCUCUGACUCUCCAUGACGUUGGCCCUGCCAAUGCACUUUGGCUGGGGCGGCCCCGGCCCCGGAAUCCGGCCCCCCUCCGUCCUGGACCGUCCACACCGACUCCCCGUGACCGUAGAGGACGGCCGAUGGUGACCCCGUCCGGAGUGGGACCUGGUUCCAGGGGAGACGGGGCUUGGGGUGGUCCCGGUCGCCCUGAUGUUUGAUCCGUCUUGACGGCCCAGGAGAGCUACCCCCUGUGCUUCGUGUUUGCCACCGGGCCUGGCCCGGGAAGACCCUGGGCUCCUACCAGGCUCGGCCUGGGUAGCCUCGGUUCUGACCUCAAACCAGCCUUAGUCUUGGUAGCCUCGGUUCUGGGCUCCCACCAGGCCUGGUCCGGGCAGCCUCGGUUCCGGGCGAGGAGGAUGAGGCUCUGCGGCUCCGGAGCAGAAAGGGAAAGCGCCUCCCGCCCAGGGGGAGCAGAGUCCCCGCGCCUUCGGGCUUCGAAGAGCCCCGGGGCACCGGUGCCCUUCCCCGUCCUUUCUGUCGGCCGGGCUCCCGUGCUGGGCCCGCGCGCCGGCCGUGCCAACGCCACCUCCCCGCGGGCCGCUGCCAGCCUGGCAACGCUGUUGGCUGUCGAGCCCGGAGCUGUCACCUCGUGGCUCCAGCGGAGAAGAUUGAAAGAAGAAAUCGGUAAGGGGGAGGGGAAGGGGGGUGACACCCAGAGCGAGCCCGCGAAAGGCCCAGAGGAGGCCGUGCCAACCCAGCGCUCUGAAGGGGAUUUGAGAAGCCCUCGAAGCUAAUCCGGCCACGGGCCCGCCUCCCGGACCCGGCAGCCGCCGCUCUCCAGCCAGUCCUGGGCGCCUAGUGUGAGCAGUCGUACUUGGGGAGCGCUUACUGCGUGCAAAGCACUGUACUAAGCCCCGGGGAGAGCGCCGUAGGGCAUCCAACGGAUUGCCCGCUCACAACGCGCUCACCGUCCAGCGGACGCCGAAUCGAU